GAACUCUCCUGCUGAUAAAGAACAGAAAGUUGCUGUUGCAGCAGAAGUCGGAGAAGGAAAACACCAUGUAAAGAUGUAUAAAGCAGGUCUUGUGCGGUUACAGAGGACAUGACAGCAUCAAGAGUUUGUAGGAGAAUCAUGAUGAUGAUCAGUUGCAAUGUGAACUACCAAAUAACCAUGAAGUACAAGCAGAUCCAAUUAAUGUGGAACAAAUAAAGGAGAAUCAUGAUGAUGAUGAGCUGCUAUGUGAACUACCAAAUAACCAUGAAGUACAACCAGAUUCAAAGCAUAUGGAACAAAUAGAGGUGGAAUCAACUUCAGACGACAACUUUUCCAAACACCUUGUGAAAGUCAUCUGAAUGCCAGGAUUCUCAAGAGCAUGAAGAUAGUCCAUUACAUAGGAGGAAGACCUUGAUUAUGUAUCUUGAUGCCAUUGGUGAAAAGGCAGAAGUCUAACACUGACUGUGAAGAAAAUGACUUGACAGCUGAAGGGAACAUGAACAAUUUGAAUCAGAUUUCUGAUAUGGCUCUUAAAGCAGUGAACUAAAAAACAUUUUCUUACUAAGUUUAAGAUUUUGAUAUCAAAGUUUUUGGAAGGGGGAUAUAGGAAUCACCCUGUUUGUUUGUCCAUCUGUCUGUGGACAACACUUGGAUUAUACUGCUCUAGCUCUAGUUGGUUAAAAUAUAUAAUAUCUAAAAUCAAAUGUGUCAUACUUCUUGUUUAUUGUGCAUAAAUGUACUCUGAAGAACAUACUGUAUAAGUAGAAUUUUUAGCGAGGAUUUAAUUUUGGCAUUAUUAGAGAUGGUGCUGACAUCGCUAAAAUUGAAUAUUGCUAAAAAUUAAUGUCUUAUUAUUUGUAAUAGCUUCUUUAGUAAACAUUUUAAAAUCGCUAAAAUUACUUCUGGCUAAAAAUAAAAUACCAGAC